rnacentral:rRNA from 1 species
CAGUCGCCGCGGUAAUACGUAGGGUGCGAGCGUUAAUCGGAAUUACUGGGCGUAAAGCGUGCGCAGGCGGUUAUAUAAGACAGAUGUGAAAUCCCCGGGCUCAACCUGGGACCUGCAUUUGUGACUGUAUAGCUAGAGUACAGUAGAGGGGGAUGGAAUUCCGCGUGUAGCAGUGAAAUGCGUAGAUAUGCGGAGGAACACCGAUGGCGAAGGCAAUCCCCUGGACCUGUACUGACGCUCAUGCACGAAAGCGUGGGGAGCAAACAGGAUUAGAUACCCGCGUAGUCCCUGUCUCUUAUAC